rnacentral:rRNA from 1 species
GACGAACGCUGGCGGCGUGCCUAAUACAUGCAAGUCGAGCGAAGCCUUCCUGGUGCUUGCACCGGAAAUACUUAGCGGCGAACGGGUGAGUAAUACGUAAAGAACAAGCCUCAUAGACGGGGACUACUAUCGGAAACGAUAGCCAAAACCGGAUAAUAGCAUUAACUGCAGGGCUGAUGUUUAAAAGGUGGUUUUGCUAACACUAUGAGAUGGCAUUGCGGUGCAUUAGCUAGUUGGUGGGGGAAAGGCAUACAAAGGCGACGAUGCAUAGCCCACCGGAGAGGGUGGUCGCCCACACUGGGACUGAGACACGGCCCAGACUCCUACGGUGGGCAGCAGUAGGGACUCUUCCGCGAUGGACGAGAGCCGGACGGAGCACCGCCGCGUGAGUGAUGAAGGAUUUCGGUUCGUAGAGCUCUGUUGUUCUGGGAGUAUGAAUGUUUAGUUACCCGACACGAUAGUGACGGUACCUGGCCAAAAAGCCCCGGCUAACUACGUG